AGCGAACGCUGGCGGCAGGCCUAACACAUGCAAGUCGAACGAACCUUUCGGGGUUAGUGGCGGACGGGUGAGUAACACGUGGGAACGUGCCUUUAGGUUCGGAAUAACUCAGGGAAACUUGUGCUAAUACCGAAUGUGCCCUUCGGGGGAAAGAUUUAUCGCCUUUAGAGCGGCCCGCGUCUGAUUAGCUAGUUGGUUGAGGUAAUGGCUCACCAAGGCGACGAGCAGUAGCUGGUCUGAGAGGAUGAUCAGCCACAUUGGGACUGAGACACGGCCCAAACUCCUACGGGAGGCAGCAGUGGGGAAUCUUGCGCAAUGGGCGAAAGCCUGACGCAGCCAUGCCGCGUGAAUGAUGAAGGUCUUAGGAUUGUAAAAUUCUUUCACCGGGGACGAUAAUGACGGUACCCGGAGAAGAAGCCCCGGCUAACUUCGUG
rnacentral:rRNA from 1 species